rnacentral:tRNA from 1 species
UCGGGGAUCGUCUAAUGGUAGGACAAGGGACUUUGGAUCCCUCGAUCCAGGUUCGAAUCCUGGUCCCCGAG